rnacentral:misc_RNA from 1 species
AGAGAGAGAGAGAGAGAGAAUCUGUUGCUUUUGCUUUGGGUUGCUUCCGUUUUACUGGUUUGUAGGUGAAGACGAAACAAAGAAACUACAAGAACAUAUCAAGAAAAAGUGGAGAUGGAGGAGGGACAGUAUCAGAAUGGGUUCUUAGUUGGUGGUGGGUUAGGGGUGAAGGUGAUGACCGAUGGGCAGCUGGAGAUGCUGAGGAAACAGAUCUCUGUUUAUGCUACCAUCUGCGAGAGUCUUGUUCAGAUGCACCAGGCCAUCUCUGAUCCUCAAGAUUUUGCUGGUUUCGUCUCUUUCUCUAUGAAUUGACUGAAUCAUGGGGAAAUCUUUGCUUUUCUUUCAUGAUUAUUGAAUUGAUGAUUAUGUAUUAAUGGGAAUUUCAGGGAAUCCUUACUGUGGUCCAUUUUCACCAUAUGCUUUCCAAAAGAUCCCUUCGAGGCAACGGUGGGCUCCAAAGCCUGCGCAGCUUCAAAUGCUUGAGAGUAUAUUUGAGCAAAGCAGUGCAACUCCAGAGAGGCAGAGUAUCAGAGAGAUUACCAAUCAACUUGCAGUGCAUGGCCCAAUUUCUGAAACAAAUGUCUAUAAUUGGUUCCAGAACAGGAGAGCUCGUUCAAAAAGAAAGCAAGCAGCUCUGCCACCAAUACCAAACCAUCAUGACUCAGCUAAAGACAAAAAGACCAAAUCUGAUGAAACCCAAGUGGAUGAAAAUUUAGCACUCAUGCUCAAUCACAUGUACUUCCAGAGUCCUGAUAUAGGAGGGAUUGACCAGUUAAUUGGCCAAACUGAAGUCCCAAUGAGCUAUUGUUCUUAUUUGCAGGUCGAGCAACAUGAUUUGAGUGGAUGAUGAUUGAUAAAGGUGGUAGGGAAAACAGAUAUAUGACCAAAGAUUGACAUAUACUAAAAGAAUUUCAUAAAUAGAAGAGACAUAUUUAUUAUGUUGGUAGGCAUCUCAGGCCUAGGAUCUAUUGAUUGUGGCAUGUAAGAUCCUUCAUCUUGAUAAUCUAAUUCUAAUUAAACUCUAUUGCUUAGAAGGUUUCUUUUAGUUCAUUAUGAGUUUUAGUAAAUAUUAACUCAGACUGCUUCAUGCUUUGCUUGACUAAUACCAAUCAUUCUGGUUCUGGAGCAUCUCCUCCAUCAGGAUGAUUUUCUUUUUCAGUUUAAUAAUUUACAACUUCAGUCUAUUAGAAACUAUAUUACAUGGAGACCCAUAAUGGAAAUGAAAUGCUGCAAUUUUCCUUGUAAUUCUCCACAUCCAACCCCCAUUCAAGUCUAUGUAUACAGCCAUCAUCCAACAUUCUCUAUUGCCAAA